GCGGGGGUCGCCAAGUCUGGUCAAAGGCGCAGGGCUUAGAACCCUGUCCCGAAGGGGUUCGUGGGUUCGAAUCCCACCCCCCGCACCA
rnacentral:tRNA from 1 species